CCUGACUCCGCCAAUCUACCCGUGUGCCCCCCCCCCAUUUUUUGUGGGGGGGCUGCCUCUCGUGCUUCCCCGGCAGGCUUCUGUAUCUCUCCAAUACUUGCCCCCAAGUCCAGUCUAUCCUCUUUCGCAACUCCUCCAGAGACCAGGAAUCCAUCUCCUCCCGGGCACGCUGCUUGAUCCAGUUGUGGUGGGUAGUUCUGUAACGGCUGUCGUAAUGAGGAGACCAAGAUGCAGCGUGGUCAGGGCGUGACAAAGAAAGGAGAAGGAGCAUGCUGGAAUUUAUUAUGGAUGUUAAAGAAACUGAUUCCAAUAAAGAGGGCCCGUGCUUUCUAAAUCCAUCACUUUCCAUCUGGCGGAAAAGAAGGAGCGAGCGAGAGAAAGUGCGAGAGAGAGAGAGAAAAGAAAAGAAAAAGCUCCAUACUUAGCUUAAACCUUGAAGGACAUGCAUAGAAUCAACCCCACUUAAAUCAAUCCGCUGGUGCGAAAUAUAAUUUCCUGCUUCAAAAAGUUUGUGAAAUAUGUGCAUGGAAUAUGAAACCUUGGCCAGAAUCCUGGUGCCUGCUGUUCUGCACUCCUGACCGGUGUCGCAGGAACCCUCUGAACACAUCAACAACUGCCUCCCACAAAGCAUUGUUACCUAUCGUUCCAAAAAAAGGCAGCGGAACUUGCAGAGCAAAGGAAACAACUACUUCAAGGUCUCAGAGCGAGUGACGUCACUGAUUGAAACGCUACUAGAGACCACCGCUAACUAGCUAGCUAUUUCACACCGGCUCAUGCGUGUGUGUGCAUUUGUGUGUCUGUAAAACGGCAAUGUGUUUAAAUGCUGACAUCUCCAAAGGAGCCCUUUAUUUGAUCAGCUCUGAUAGAAUUCGAGACCUUGGGACUAUAAGAUUCUGGCAUUUUUGUCAAAAAUGUGUUAGUCACAUGUAAUUG
rnacentral:lncRNA from 1 species